rnacentral:rRNA from 1 species
UACGAAGGGGGCUAGCGUUGCUCGGAAUCACUGGGCGUAAGGCGCACGUAGGCGGAUUCUUAAGUCAGGGGUGAAAUCCUGGAGCUCAACUCCAGAACUGCCUUUGAUACUGGGAAUCUCGAGUCCGGGAGAGGUGAGUGGAACUGCGAGUGUAGAGGUGAAAUUCGUAGAUAUUCGCAAGAACACCAGUGGCGAAGGCGGCUCACUGGCCCGGUACUGACGCUGAGGUGCGAAAGCGUGGGGAGCAAACAGG